UACUGUUGUGCGAUCAGCAGUAUACUCAUACGUUCAAUUGUUUAAUCCUCAGAGGCAAAUGCAAGGUCGUUGAAAUUGUGAUACUUGAGUGAUACUACAUGUAAUAAUUUGAUAAAGAAAAAUUAUAUAUAUUUCCCUUGCGAUUACUAUACAUAUGUAUAUUAGUAUAAUUUAACACUUUGAAUGCCACGAACAAAUUGCUAAUGCAAUGCAAAUAAAUGGAUUGGACGUGGAGGUCCCAGUGUGUGGCUUGUUCCUCGAGGUUAAAUUUACUGGAUUUUUACUUGUGAGUAUUUGAAAUCCAUCGUGUAUACAACGCCAGUUGAAAACGUUAAAGUGCUGCAUCAUAGAAUUAAAUAAGGUUUUCAACAGCUUUGAGUAACAGCAAAAAGUAUGGAGAGAGUAAUUAAAUCAAUGAUAAGAUGGAUACGGGAUGCCUUGAAAUGCAAGGUAGUCAUUAGCGUUGUUUAUGAAGGGAAUAAGAAGAAAUCAGGUUUCAGAAUUAUAAUAAUGAAUUUUAAGUAAAUUAAUUAAAAGAGAUAAAGCUAUUGUCAAUAAGCAAGGAAAAGUGAAACGACAUAUCUGUGCAGUGGCAGUCUUCAGAAAUUUCUUGAUCAACCAAAUUGAAUUUGACGUAGCCAGAGAAGCUAGCCAGAAGGAAAUCCAUUGGCUAUCCCUAGGGGCUAUUUCAAAUCUAAAAUAUCGGAUUGAAUCAUCCGUGAUCGUCAGAAAAGGAAAAAGAAAAAAAUAAGAGACAAGAAAGCUGUUGGACAAAAAGCCACGAAUUCUUAUACUUAUCUAAAUGAAAUAUUCGUAUUGGGCAUUUUGAAUUUUGAACAAUAUAAAUAAUUAAAUAAUUAAAUAAUAAACAAUAAACAAAGCUAUCCAUAUUUUUACACGAAUAUUCAAUCAUAGUAUAUAGAUGGACAAAUAUGAUAGUAUGACCCUAAAACAACCUUGGACUUUAAAGUUUCUAAUCAAAUGUGAAACUUUCUCUAAUAGGGUGUCCCUGAUUUUCCAAAUCGUUGGAUUGGACAUAACGAGUCUGCAUUAUGGGUCACUCUGUUCACCGCAUCUCACCCCCCUGCAUUUCUUUCUAUGGGGGACAUUGAAACAAAAGGUUUAUGAAGAAUAAGUGAGAAAAAAAAAAUAUGAAAAAAUGACAUCUCGUCUAUGAUACAUCAUAAAGAAUGUUAGAAAUGCGAUAAAGUAUUCAAGAAAUUUAAAGAAAAAUAUCAAUGUGAUUUCGAAGUACGGUUAACUCGAAUAUCGAUUAACAAUCUAAAGGAAUAAUCCUGGCCACAAAUUAAUAACACAGCAGGCUUGUUUUGACAACGAAUUGUGUUAGAGAAUUCGAUCGCGUGCAAAGGUCUCUUAACCUGGGAUCAAUAUCACUGCUGGGUGCUACGAACUUGCAGAUAUUCAAAUCUUACUGGGCCUUACUUCGCAUUAUCCUUGCGAAAUUACAAUCAGCACAUUGCGAACUUGUAUAUAACUACCCUUCAGAGGAAAAUUUGUGUCUCUUUGACAACGAAACGUACAUACAAGCGAAUGAAUUGAUUUAUAAAAUACCUAAAGUCUAAAUUAGGUAAUUCAUAUGAAAAUCCGCAAAUCUUAAGAUCACAAGUUCGUGAUUAUAAUAACCCACUUUCCUUGUUAUUUGAAAUAACACAAAUUCACGAACCAUAUUUUUGUUUCUCUUAGUUACAUGCUAACUUCAGCCAAAAUCGCAGGUAAAUAAUUAAGGUGUUUGUUUACUAAAUUUUACCAUUGAAUCCUAACACAUCUUGUUCCUGAUUUAAUUUUAAAUUUUAUUCCUAAAAUUAUUUUCUACCUUUUAUUUUUUCAUUAUUUUAAGACUUUGUAGGCUGGAAAACAAAUGAAUCUUUCAUGUUGCCAGCAUCUCCUUUGAUACCUUCAACCACGGUAUUCGGAUGAAAUUUCACCCAAAGGACAUUCACGCUACUUUUUAAUUUAUUACAUUCACAUUAUAUUCAGAUUAACACUUUACGCGGUCGCGGUUACAUAUUCGUCAUUUUGACUUUUCACACCAUUAUUUUUUUCUCUACCUGUGUCUACUCUAUCAGAUGCAAAUUACUUUUCAAAAAUUAGUAAUUUAUCAGCAUAGUUCUUCAUAAUUUUUGUUUAAUAAUAUUCUAUUAGAUAUAACAAGAAUCAUAAAAUUACAAAAACCAAUGUACCAAUAUCGUUAAUUUAAAAAUUAAAAAUUUUCAAUUAUUAAUUUUCAAAAUAAUAAUUUUCUAAUGUAUUCUUUCAAUUAUACUUAAUUUGUGGUAUCGGCCACAAUGAUCUAUUGAAGCAAAUGAGGUUGAUAAAUUAAAAAUUAUAUAAUUCAGUUAAUUUUCAGCUGAAGAUCAUUUGUGGGUUGAAAGGAAACGACUAAAUAAAUAGUUACAGUUGAAAACAUCUUGUUGAAAAGAGCAUAAUUUCAGUGAACACCAAUAGACAGAUGUUCGGUUUGCGAGUAUCAUCCACAUCCCCUUUGCUCAUAAAAUUGAUCAAAUUCUGAGAUACAGUGUACCAGCAAAACGCUUUGAAUCCAAUAAAGAGGAUUAAGUGUACUGAGCUGUAAACACGGUGUGAUUGAAUUCUAAGAGUGACGAGGGAACGUUCUCUAUCUCUUUUCUUUGUCUCGUUUCUUUCAGCUUGUUUCCGACCAAUGUUCCUUGUGAUUUUGUUUCACGGUUCCAGUGUGUCCGUAUCUUUUAAUUUCACGGUGUAAAACAACGUAUGACGUCGUAAAAACGCGGGAUCGUUUCCUUUUUAUUACCCAAGAGAGAUAUCAUUCUUAUAAGUUAAUUAGAUUCCAUAAUGAUUAGAGACCAUUACCGAUAAUAAUUACGUUAACAAUUGGCACAAAGGAAACUGAAUAUGUUUCACAAUUUAACCAACUUUUCGCUAUAUAAUGGAAUCUCAAAAUCAUAUUCCAAUUUUCAAUGGAAUCCGUUCCUGUUCGUGUCAUAAAUUUACAAUUCCAUACUUUUUUUACUAAUUGUAAUUGUGCAUACCUAUGAAAAUUUUUGUUAUAUUUUUUUCUCUACCAGCAAAGAUAUUUAGAAAACGUUAAUUUAUUUAUUAAUUAAAUGUAUUCAGUGAUUCCGAAUAAUUGACCUCAUCAGUUAAUUUCGCACUGAAUUAAUCGAACUUUAUAAAUGAUUUACUAAACCCUUGAUGAUAUUAAAUUUCAAUGGCAUUCCUGUGAUUUCGAAGCAAAACAUUUUAUUCCACAUUUUAAUUAAAAUAUUAUAGGAAUAUUUUCUUUCUAAUCUGCCCACGAGCUUUGGAUGAAAAUUCAUCCAUUGUCUAUUUUUAAGCGCUGUACAGCUUUUCAUUUUUUCUUAUGUACGGGCACGUAAUGUAUUCCAUAAUUUUAUGUAUUCUUUUAAAGUGGAAAAUUAUGGUGAAAAUCAUAAACAUUCUACUGGAAACAAAAUUAGCAAAAAAGUAACGUGAUCAUCCUUCGGGUGAAAUUUCAACCAAGUACCGCACGCUCUAAUAAAAAUAUCUAUAUUGUACACUCUUGUUGGAAAAACAAAACAUGCUAAUUUACUUUUAUUUACACACCUGUUAAACUAACUUAUUUAAAAUUUCAGAUUAUACAAAUUUUUUAUAGGGAAGGUAUAAUAAAAAUGCCUACACUUUAUUAGGAUACAUGUAUGUAUUAUGUACGCAUACCCCUUGAGGAACCUUAAAAUCUUUAGGGGUCCUACCGUGAAAACUCAACAAUUUUUAAGUUAGAUAUAUGUAAAAUUUAUAAUUGCAAAAUAUUCUUUCAUUUUAUUUUCAUUAUAAUAUUAUAACUAUAGGUUUAGCAAUCUAUACAAGGAGUACACCAGUUUAUAUGUUACGUUUCCAGGAGCCCGGAUUAAAAAUGAAACAAGGAACGGCUGCAUUCUUAUAUGUUUGCAAAUUUUCGUAACUUCCCCGCCAUUUCUAUGCAUCAAAAAGGAAACAAGGGAUAAACGAGGAAACUUGUGAGUUACAAUCACGAGGAGACGCUUGCAUAUACGCAUACUUUCCCCAACUUUCCCCUCACUUUCGAGACAUGUCGCUACUUUGAAAGAAAACUGGUACAAAUUAAAAAAUAUCACUUUAGAAAAUCUGUCUUUUAAAAAUUUGAUUACUCUAUGCGUUUUCUCAAAAAAUGUUAAAAUUUUUAGCAACAUUUAAUUGCUUAAAAUCACCCUUGUAAUAUUUAGAAUUAUUCUACUAUUUUUAUUUCUUAAUUAUUUGAUCGAAUUAAAUUGUUGUGUCAGUCACCGGUGACCGUCCUGCUGGUUAACGAGUUAAGAUCCCUUUGUUGCGUUUAAUACGCUGACUGGCGCAGUAGAAAUGGACACGUGUGGUCAGACAUACUGAAACUGAUUACAGUAGGUGCGAAGAGUUAAUUUGCUAAACUAAAUCUUCCAAUUUGCUACCUUAUAUUGUUAGUAUAAUAGUGAUUUUAUUGAAGAUUUGUUUUCCAAUUUUGUAAUAUAAUUAGUCGAUUAUAUUAUUGUACAUUUGAAUCGAUCAUUAACUCAUCGUUAGCGCUAAUCAACGUGUUAAUGUUAGCUAAUUGCUAAGUAAUUUCUAUUCUGUGUUUAAAUUUUAAUUCAUAAACGAAUGAAGAUGAAUCUGUCGUAAUAAAAAUUGACGUGUGCAGCAAA